AAAUUUCAAAUUUCAAAUUUCAAAUCUCAAAUCUCAAGUUUCAAAUUUCAAAUUGUAAAUUUUAAAUUUUUAUUUCAAAUUUUAAAUUUCAAAAUUUAAAAAUUAAAGUUAGAUUUUUCUAUUUCAAAUUUUCAAUUUUCAAAUUAAAAAUUUUAUAUUUCAUAUUUCAAAUAUUAAAUUUUAAAUUUUAAAUUUUAAAUUUAAA
rnacentral:lncRNA from 1 species